UACGUAGGGGGCAAGCGUUGUCCGGAAUCAUUGGGCGUAAAGCGCGUGUAGGCGGUUCGGUAAGUCUGCUGUGAAAGUCCAGGGCUCAACCCUGGGAUGCCGGUGGAUACUGUCGGACUAGAGUACGGAAGAGGCGAGUGGAAUUCCCGGUGUAGCGGUGAAAUGCGCAGAUAUCAGGAGGAACACCGAUGGCGAAGGCAGCUCGCUGGGACGGUACUGACGCUGAGGCGCGAAAGCGUGGGGAGCGAACAGG
rnacentral:rRNA from 1 species